rnacentral:lncRNA from 1 species
CAGCCUUUGGUGCAGCUGUAAGUCGGAUGGAAUCCACCUUCCUGACGUCAGACCCACCCACUGGAACACUGCUCCUCUGACUGGGGCUUCCCUGAAUGGAAACUACAUGUCAUACUGCAAAGUUCCAGAUAGAUUUUAUCACGCAAGAUAAGCAAAUGAACCACAGAAUUUUGAAGUUAGAGGUAAUUACAGCAAUGAUCUUAGCCAGCCCCCACACAUUUUGGGACACAUAGGUUCAGGACUGCCUGCCUUGGAGCUGAUUCCAUAAGAUACCCAUUUUUUUUUUUUUUAAUUUUUUUAUUAUACUUUAAGUUUUAGGUACAUGUGCACAUUUGGAUCAAGACACUUGACAUUUGGGGGGUCUGUGAGGGGAAAUCCCUGCCAGAGCCCCUCAUUAUCAUAUUUUUAUUUCAUUCCUAAGAACAACUUCUGAAAGAGAAAAAAGUCUUUGUCUCAGUUUCUGCUCUCCAGAGGUAACCCAAAGGUAAAAGGUAAGGAACCCAGUGAGAAAGACAGAGAGAAGUAUGGACAAGAAACAGAUCCUAAACCUGUUUUGUUUUAUUUUUGGUAGUAGUUGUUUAUUUUUGAAAACAUUCAAACCACCUGUAUUGGUGGCUGUUAUUAUGAAAUAAAUAAACUGAGAAACAACAAGACAAUUUGGCCUCUACAAUUUGUUUAGUUUUGACUAAGUAUUUGCCUUGGAAGAAGUAUGU